rnacentral:tRNA from 1 species
CCCUGGUGGCUCAGAGGUUAAAGCAUCUGCCUGCAAUGUGGGAGACCCAGGUUCAAUCCCUGGAUCAGGAA